AGAGUUUGAUCAUGGCUCAGAACGAACGCUGGCGGCACGCCUAACACAUGCAAGUCGAACGGAUUAAAAUUAGGUUUACCUAAUUUUGAUCAGUGGCAAACGGGUGAGUAACACGUGGGAAUCUACCCAUUAGUCUGGAAUAACAUUUGGAAACAGAUGCUAAUACCAUAUAUUCUCGAGAGAGGAAAGAUUUAUCGCUAAUGGAUGAGCCCGCGCCAGAUUAGGUAGUUGGUGGGGUAAUGGCCUACCAAGCCUAUGAUCUGUAGCUGGUCUGAGAGGACGAACAGCCACACUGGGAAUGAGGGACGGCCCAGACUCCUACGGGAGGCAGCAGUGGGGAAUAUUGGGCAAUGGGCGAAAGCCUGACCCAGCGAUGCCGCGUGAGUGAUGAAGGCCUUAGGGUUGUAAAGCUCUUUCGUCAGGGAAGAUAAUGACUGUACCUGAAAAAGAAGUCCCGGCUAACUCUGUGCCAGCAGCCGCGGUAAGACAGAGGGGACUAGCGUUGUUCGGAAUUACUGGGCGUAAAGCGUGUGUAGGUGGAUUAGUAAGUUGAGAGUGAAAUGCCAGGGCUUAACCUUGGAACUGCUUUCAAAACUGUUAAUCUAGAGUUCGAUAGGGGAUAACGGAAUUCCUAGUGUAGAGGUGAAAUUCUUAGAUAUUAGGAGGAACGCCAAAAGCGAAGGCAGUUAUCUGGAGCGAAACUGACACUGAGGCACGAAAGCGUGGGGAGCAAACAGGAUUAGAUACCCUGGUAGUCCACGCUGUAAACGAUGAGUGUUAGAUAUCGGGAGAUUAUUCUUUCGGUUUCGAAGCUAACGCAUUAAACACUCCGCCUGAGGAGUACGGUCGCAAGACUAAAACUUAAAGGAAUUGACGGGGGCCCGCACAAGCGGUGGAGCAUGCGGUUUAAUUCGAUGUUACGCGAACAACCUUACCAACUCUUGACAUGGUGGUCAUAGGGAAUAGAGAUAUUCCCGUCAGUUAGGCUGGACCACACACAGGUGUUGCAUGGCUGUCGUCAGCUCGUGUCGUGAGAUGUUGGGUUAAGUCCCGCAACGAGCGCAACCCUCAUCCUUAUUUACCAGCGGGUAAUGCCGGGGACUAUAAGGAAACUGCCAGUGAUAAAUUGGAGGAAGGUGAGGAUGAUGUCAAGUCAUCAUGGCCCUUAUGAGUUGGGCUACACGCGUGCUACAAUGGUACCUACAACGGGAAGCAACACGGCGACGUGAAGCUGAUCCUUAAAUGGUAUCUCAGUCCGGAUUGCACUCUGCAACUCGAGUGCAUGAAGUCGGAAUCGCUAGUAAUCGCGGAUCAGCAUGCCGCGGUGAAUACGUUCUCGGGCCUUGUACACACUGCCCGUCAAGCCAUGGGAGUUGGGGUUACCUGAAGUUAGUGGGCUAACGCAAGAGGCAGCUAACCACGGUAAGACCGAUGACUGGGGCUAAGUCGUAACAAGGUA
rnacentral:rRNA from 1 species